UUGCUUUGCGAUGAUGAUAAUGUGUUAAUCCCAGCUCAUUAUGAGGCCUUCUUUUGUAGAAGGCCAGGGAAUUUACCUUUUUCCAACAUUUAUCUGAGCAUCUU
rfam:Daucus carota subsp. sativus cultivar DH1 chromosome 1, whole genome shotgun sequence.